UCUAAUACAUAUAUUGUUUCCUCUCACAUUGAACUUGUUACAUCACAGAUAGAUCAUCCCUUCACAAUCGUAUUCGUCCUUGGAGCAAAGAAGAACAGUGAGGGCUCUGCGUUUGUUGGUGGAAUAGAGAGGAAAAAAGAAAAUGUAACCCCAGAUUUAGCGACAUAUGAAGGAUUGAUUGCUGAUGUCGAAGGUUUCAGAUUUCGUUUGGAAAGAAUGUGGUAUAAGGCACUUAGUUGAAUACGGCGUGCUGUUCAUAGAGAUCAACAGUGAUGAGCAAGUGAAAGGAAUGGUGCUACAAGCAUUGG